CGUGCCCUAAUAUAUUCAUAAAAGUAGCCAAUUAGAAGCUGAGGGGAACAAACGGAAGUCCCGAGCGUCCUUCAGAGAAGUAGAUUCCCCCGGAAACAAAACAGGGCGGGCGCGCACCUCCUGCGGCGACACGCCUAGCAGACGGCGGAAGGCGGGAAGAACUGUCUACGGAAGUGGAAGGUUGGUAACGAAUCAGAGAACAAGGAUCGGAAGAUCCGUUCCACGGACUUCCGGACGCGGCCCUGCCCCGGGAACUGCGGGUGUUCAGGACCCUGUGGUGCGCGGGACGCCGCCCGCGCAUGCGCCGCGCCGGCUCAGCCCCGUUUUCGCAAGCUCUGCGUGGUCUUGGGUGGCGAGUUCGAGCCUUAGAACGGCCGAGUGCCCUGGAACCGGUUUCGGCUCUGGCGUCCUCGCGUGUCCUCCGGCUCCAGGUUACAACGUCAGUAUUGGCGCCUUGGCGCGGUCCCG
rnacentral:lncRNA from 1 species